rnacentral:rRNA from 1 species
GAUGAACGCUGGCGGCGUGCCUAAUACAUGCAAGUCGAGCGAACAGACGAGGAGCUUGCUCCUCUGACGUUAGCGGCGGACGGGUGAGUAACACGUGGAUAACCUACCUAUAAGACUGGGAUAACUUCGGGAAACCGGAGCUAAUACCGGAUAAUAUAUUGAACCGCAUGGUUCAAUAGUGAAAGACGGUUUUGCUGUCACUUAUAGAUGGAUCCGCGCCGCAUUAGCUAGUUGGUAAGGUAACGGCUUACCAAGGCAACGAUGCGUAGCCGACCUGAGAGGGUGAUCGGCCACACUGGAACUGAGACACGGUCCAGACUCCUACGGGAGGCAGCAGUAGGGAAUCUUCCGCAAUGGGCGAAAGCUUACGGAGCAACGCCGCGUGAGUGAUGAAGGUCUUCGGAUCGUAAAACUCUGUUAUUAGGGAAGAACAAAUGUGUAAGUAACUAUGCACGUCUUGACGGUACCUAAUCAGAAAGCCACGGCUAACUACGUG